rnacentral:misc_RNA from 1 species
CGCGUCAGCAUGAGCCCAAUUACGUCCACUCAAGACAAAGCUGCGAAGCGAAGGGCACGCGACGCUGAACGCAAACGCUUGAAGCGAGCGGCGAACCCUGAAAUUCGUCUGCGCGAAGCAGCUCGGCAGCGUCAACGUCGAGAAGCGGAUCCUGAGCAUCGAGCACGUGCAGCAGCGUUGGAACGGGAACGUCGAGCAGCGCGUAAACGUCAACAACGAGAGGCUGCUCCCGAUGCUGCACGCGAGCGCGCCGCGAAAGCGGCGGCGCGAGCCAAGCAGCACGCGCAGCGCGACGCUCGCUUCAAACGUGACUUCCUGGAACGGAGCUUCGGACACAGUUGCAAGGAUGAAAACAAGGGACUUGCUUGUUGCUGCACACAUGUCACAUCGACCAAAGCCUUACAGACCAAGGCUUCGUGGAGGGUCAAUGCUACUGCAGACGCUGCAGUCGAGACAUUGAGGAGCGUGGAUUUCUGUUCCCAGACGAUGCCUGUCAUCAAAGUGAACAGAUGGACAGAAGCCAACGGUGUUGAGGAUUCUGAGGAGCAGGAGAGUUGCGGUGCAGUUUGCAUGGAUGGAAGCGACGGACUUUCCUGUUGCUUCGCACCCGUCACAUCUACAAGAGCGUCACAGACAAAGGCUUCGUGGCUGUUCAAGUCUACGGCAGACGCUGCAGUCGAGACAUCGAGGGGCACGGAUGCCUGUUCGCAAGCGGUGGCUGUCGUCGUCAGGGUGCACAGAUGGACGGAAGCUAAUGAUGGCGAGGAUUCUGAGGACCGGGACAGUCACACGUAGCAAUCCCCGAUUCAGCUGAAGCCUCACUCCAACCGUAGCAGGAGGAACUGGGUCUGAGACCCGUCUUUCUGUGCGUCUCCAUACGACCCGAUGGCGUGACGAGUGCCACAACUCCCCAACAUGGAGGAAGACCCCGGAGUCGCCUCACUGUACAUCAAUUGAGCAGGGCCAUGGAAGAGGAGUCUGUACCUAGCAGCGGGCACGAGUCGGCGGCCUCCACACUUUGUACUGUCACCGCACAAGUGGAGACUACCAUUCAAUGUGACUGAGGUGCCAACACUGCCGUCCAGUACACUUGGUGCUUCAGCAAAGCUGCUUCCUAGUCAAUGCAAGCCGAAUGCCCCCAACAAUGGAUCUCCAGGAGGAUGCGCAGUCCGAGCAUACCACGUCACUACAACGCCUCUGCAGUUGGUGAACUGCUAAGACCAAAGAAUUUAGGUGCAGUGUGUGUUUGCUUCGAGAAUCAUUGCUCUGUUUUUUGCGCCAUGCUUUCGUAAAACACAAGUGACAACAUAAAUGAAGCAAUACAAACAUACGUGCAGACUUCCAACUGUUGACUCUUGUAUCCCACUGCAGAUAACGUUUCAAACGCAUCUCAAAUGUAGCAGUUUGCCUGCUUUGUGUCGAACUUAAUCCUAGCUGACGUUGACGUACCAUUGUGUACCUUUUUUGUACAGCCCAUUAAUUUUUGUAGGUGCUGAGAAUAAAAAACACUUGCACCAUGCUUCUUGCCAAUUUAUUUGAGGCAAUGCGAUAAAUAUGCAUAUAUACUGUAUAAGAAAUCAUAGUUGCCUUCAUUUUGUGCUCAGCACAUUCCGUUUUCA